GGGAACUGUGAAGGAUAGAGGCACAUGUUAAAUGUCACCACGAGGAUAACUGAUUUGCAUCAUUCUCUUCAAGUCAACACCAUGAAAAAUUACAGAUAAAUGCAUGGUAGGUUCUACCGUUCUCAGCUCCAGCCUCCGGCAAGGUGUGCAUCCCAAAGCGCAAGGCCUUCCAGCCCCAUCUUACCACAUUAUUGACAAAAGCCGCAAGGGAGCUCCCAAGAGCCUCAUCUGACACGCGGUACAGUCACG
rnacentral:lncRNA from 1 species